CCUGCUGGGGGCAGAUGUAAUGGAUAUGGCUGUCAAUUCCACCCGGUGUGACGAUACGCCCUUCCGCAGCGAUGAUCUCCGUUCCCGGCCCGAUGAUGAUAUCCACGCCCGACUGAAUGUCCGGGUUCCCGGCCUUGCCGAUGGCGGCGAUACGGCCCGCACGAAUGCCAAUAUCGGCCUUGAUAAUUCCCCAAUGGUCAAAAAUCACCGCAUUGGUGAUGACCGUAUCCAUCGCCCCUUCGGCCUGACUGCGCUGGGACUGGCCCAUGCCAUCCCG
rnacentral:sRNA from 1 species